CAUCUAUGUUAUGCCAUAUGUACAUCUGAUUUGGCGCUUCCCAGUGGAGCACGUUAUGGUACUUAAGAACUGGAGAUUGGAAGGAAUAAGGUGGGAGUUACAGGUUGAUAUUAGUGAAGGAACUGAAGCCCACAGAUUUGCAACAAAAAGUGGUAGAGCUGGCAUUGAACCAGGUAGGAUGGCAAGUCCUAU